UCGAACGGUAGCAGGAAGAAACUUGCUGCUUUGCUGACGAGUGGCGGAGGGGUGAGUAAUGUCUGGGAAACUGCCUGAUGGAGGGGGAUAACUACUGGAAACGGUGGCUAAUACCGCAUAACGUCGCAAGACCAAAGAGGGGGACCUUCGGGCCUCUUGCCAUCAAAUGUGCCCAGAUGGGAUUAGCUUGUUGGUGAGGUAACGGCUCACCAAGGCGACGAUCCCUAGCUGGUCUGAGAGGAUGACCAGCCACACUGGAACUGAGACACGGUCCAGACUCCUACGGGAGGCAGCAGUGGGGAAUAUUGCACAAUGGGCGCAAGCCUGAUGCAGCCAUGCCGCGUGUAUGAAGAAGGCCUUCGGGUUGUAAAGUACUUUCAGCGGGGAGGAAGGUGUUGUGGUUAAUAACCGCAGCAAUUGACGUUACCCGAAGAA
rnacentral:rRNA from 1 species